GGUAUCCUGGCCGAGUGGUCUAAGGCGCCAGGGUAAGGUUAACAACUUUACCAACCAAUCCUGGUCUCUUCGGGGGCGUGGGUUCGAACCCCACGGAUAUCA
rnacentral:tRNA from 1 species